ensembl:lncRNA
GGUGCCGGAGUUUGCGACUACAGACAAUUAUAAUAAUAUAGUUAUUGGCGGGGAAACUCAGUCAUUUCAAUAGCGGGACACUAAGGUGGAAUUGAGAGAAGAAUUCAUUCUAAAUAAUGGCGAGACAAUUUCGAUAUAAUACGGUUCCCCUUAAAUCAAGACUUCCUCCCUUUACAGUGACCGGAGGAGAUUAUUACUGUUUGGCCCGGUACAGUACUCUUGGGAAAUAUGUAGGGGAAGUUAGUACCUGCAAUUGGACAGAGAAUAUUACCACUGAUGAGACCAUGUCUAAUUUGACAGGCUGGUUGAACUCUGGGGAUUUCAAUAAGGUAAAGUGGGCCAGGG